rnacentral:lncRNA from 1 species
UUUUUUUCAUUUUGACUAUUGAAUUUUUGCUAAUUCUCUUUAUUGCCAAUUAUUGUUCUCGCUUCCCUCAAUCUGUCGUCCCUUCUCCUACUCUCCCCAAAUUUCUAUUUUCUUCCAUUUUUGCUAUUAUGAAUUUCUGUCGCUCCUUUGAUUUCUUUUCUUUUCUUUUUUUUUCUUCUUUCCCUUUUGCUUUUAACCUUUUUUUUUAUAUAUAAUCUUACAACCAAUCAUUGAUUUCUUCUUUUAUUGCCUUUUUUUUAUUCUCUUCUUGUACUAUUAUUUUCGUUUGGGUAGCAACCUUUUUUUUAUCAUCACCAUCCCUAUAUCAAUUUUUCUCUGUGUUGAUCCGUGUGAUAACUUGAUUUUGAACAAUUUUGACUGUGUAUGGUAAGAAUUUUGAUUUAAGUUUCAUAAUUUGCUAUGGGGGAUUUUUCGUACGUUUCUUUUUCUUUUGUUCUGAUUAUUUAGUUUUCUCGGCGUGGUUUUGAUUGUGUGAUAUCUCUGAUAGGUGAGGAGCGUGAAAUACCUAAUCCUCCGGUGAAUUAGGUGUUGAUUGUUCGCUACUUUUCAGGGUAAGUGAUCGAUGUCUUAAUUUAGAGGCUGGUGUUGGUUUAGUUUUAACGGCUGAAUGUUUUAAUUGUUGUAAUGCAUGUAAUGUUAAUGGUUUCGUUAUGGUAACGUGUGUUGUGACGUGUUAGAAGCAUUCAAGUGUGUGUUCUAACCCCACAUGUUUGUAUGUGAUUCUUACUCGAAAAAAAAAAGAGAAAAUCAUGAAAAUCUUAAAAAUACAUAAAAUUGAAUCUGCUAAUCGACGCCACACAGUCGAGAGGGACACAGGAGUGUUUGAUUCUAAAAUAUGAAAUACAAACAAUCUUUAAGCAUACAAAACCUUGUAAUCUAUGAAAUAGUACAUACGUUAGUUUUAAUAUGUUCCAAUUAGUAAAUUCUGAGUAAACUAUGUUAUGUUUUUCUCUGUAUCUAGUAUGUAUGUAAGACAUGCAUCUGUUUUAAUAUGAAUUCUUUUAUCAUGAUAAAAUUAUAUGCAUGAACAUGUGAUAUGAUUUUUCUGCAUGCAUUGGGGUGAGAUAUGGAUAUGCGAUGGAGGAAGUACGUUUCUGGCAGUUUUAUUACAAUUCUGGUAGUAUAUCCGCAACACAUAUUCUGGUAAACUUACUGCAACUUUGGCGAUAUUUUCACAAUAUAUGUGUAUUCUGGCAGCACAGCUGCAAACUUUCUAACUGGCAUAUGACCGCAUUCCGGUGUGAUGGUUGGAUGGAUUCUUGUAGCCUAUUUGGUGUGAUUGGUUGGAUGGAAUGGUGUGUAGCGAAUGGGGGUAGGAUUAAUUUUGUUCUAAUAUGUGCAUCUACACAUGUGAGAUUGUUGAUUUGUCUGUUCUAAUAUAUGCAUAUAAGCAUGUUUUCAUGUGAUUUGUACUCGUAGGCCAAGGCACACACUAGGCUUUAGAUCACUUUGUCUGUUUAAUAUUUUUUAGGUGAUCCUCAGACUUAGGAUUUGGCAGCGUUUAAGAGUUCAGCUCGGUUCAUUGUUUUUAAUUCUUUCAGAAACUUAUGUUUUGGAUUUUAUGGACUGGAGUGCCGGACUAUUUUAAUUUUCGGACAUUAACUUUGGUUUGAAAUUGGUUAAAUGUUUGUAGUUAGUCGAUAAGUUUUUUUUUAAUUGGAAUGAAUUUGGACGAAACGAAUCAAAUAAAUAUUUUUCAAAGUUAAACAACUCUAAGAGAUUUGCCGCUACAAAGAUUUAUUUGGUAUAAAGUGUUUUACGAAACAAGUAACUAAGGCGAAAUUGUUUUAUUAAAUUAGUUUUGUAAGUAAAUAUUUCAAGACGUUAUCACAUGUUUUUGUGACCAAGAAUAUUUGUUUCGAAAACAAGUGGUCGAAGUUUCAAUUUAGCAAUGUAACCUUUAUAAUCUAAUCAUAAUAUUUAGGUCGGAUAUGGGGUUACCUACAUUAUUAUAAUUUUCAAAUAUAUAUUUUUAUAAUAUUUAAAAAUUUAGGAAAAAAUUUGUGAAAUUAUUUCUAAAUUUUUAAUCUUUCUAUUUUAUUUUUUAAAAAUUAUUUUACAAUAUAAAUCCUUAGUGGGACCAACAAGCCA